GGUCGGGGAUAACGACUGGAAACGGUCGCUAAUACCGGAUGUGCCGAGAGGUGAAAGCUUAAUGUGCCUGAAGAUGAGCUCGCGUCCGAUUAGCUAGUUGGUGGGGUAAGAGCCUACCAAGGCGGUGAUCGGUAGCUGGUUUGAGAGGAUGAUCAGCCACACUGGGACUGAGACACGGCCCAGACUCCUACGGGAGGCAGCAGUGGGGAAUUUUCCGCAAUGGGCGCAAGCCUGACGGAGCAAUACCGCGUGCGGGAGGAAGGCUUUUGGGUCGUAAACCGCUUUUAUUGGGGAAGAAGCUCUGACGGUACCCAAUGAAUCAGCAUCGGCUAACUCCGUGCCAGCAGCCGCGGUAAUACGGAGGAUGCAAGCGUUAUCCGGAAUUAUUGGGCGUAAAGCGUCCGCAGGUGGCUGGUCAAGUCUGCUGUUAAAGCGUAGAGCUUAACUCUAUAUCGGCAGUGGAAACUGGACAGCUAGAGUACGGUAGGGGUAGCGGGAAUUCCCAGUGUAGCGGUGAAAUGCGUAGAUAUUGGGAAGAACACCAGCGGCGAAAGCGCGCUACUGGGCCUGUACUGACACUGAGG
rnacentral:rRNA from 1 species